rnacentral:tRNA from 1 species
GCUUCCUUAGCUCAGCUGGCUAGAGCAACUGACUCUUAAUCAGUAGGUCCCGGGUUCGAGCCCCGGAGGGAGUA